CUCUACCACCCAGCAGCGCGUCCUCACGGCCAAGGACGUUUUGGAACGCCACGAACAAAUGCUGCAGCUCAUCAAUCAGCAGUUGGCUGCUCUAACGCAGGCCCUCGCUCAGCGUGUACCUUUGGUAAACCCAGCAGCCUCUCCUCCCUCUGUCUCCUCACAGUUAUCGGCUUCUGAGCCUCCGGCACCCGGGCCUUCGGCUCCGCCUCAUCCCACUCCUUCGGAGCCCCCGGAGCGAGCUUUGCCAACACCGGAACCCUUCACGGGUGGACAAGCAUUUACGUGUGCGCUGGAGAACUGAGGACUACAUUUCCCAGAGGUCUCUGGGACGCGGCGAAGCAGCAUCGGGCGGAAGCGUCACGAGUGGCGGAAGAGAUUCGGAGUCACACAACAUGGAGGAGGAAUAUGAGGAGCAGACAGAGAGUGAAACUAAGUUCAGACGAAGGAUGACAGGUUGCCCUGGCAACAGACCUCAGAAAGGGGAAGUUAUUGCAAGCUGCACAGGAUGUAAGACACAAAGAAAA